AACGAACGCUGGCGGCAGGCCUAACACAUGCAAGUCGAGCGGACCCUUCGGGGUUAGCGGCGGACGGGUGAGUAACGCGUGGGAACGUGCCCUUUGCUUCGGAAUAGCCCUGGGAAACUGGGAGUAAUACCGGAUACGCCCUUUUGGGGAAAGAUUUAUCGGCGAAGGAUCGGCCCGCGUUGGAUUAGGUAGUUGGCGGGGUAAUGGCCUACCAAGCCGACGAUCCAUAGCUGGUUUGAGAGGAUGAUCAGCCACACUGGGACUGAGACACGGCCCAGACUCCUACGGGAGGCAGCAGUGGGGAAUCUUAGACAAUGGGGGAAACCCUGAUCUAGCCAUGCCGCGUGAGCGAUGAAGGCCUUAGGGUUGUAAAGCUCUUUCACCGGGGAAGAUAAUGACGGUACCCGGAGAAGAAGCCCCGGCUAACUCCGUG
rnacentral:rRNA from 1 species